rnacentral:lncRNA from 1 species
AACAUCCAAUGCAUUUAGCACGAACAAUGUCUCCACUAAAAGUACGUGGAGUUCACAGCUGAAUAAUAUCAAACAUUCAUAUGAAACAUGCAAUGUUGAAAAUAAAUAAGAAAAGAUCCUAUAGACUGGAACUAUUUUUCUCUAUGAAGCUAAAAUCUAUACAUAAUCCAGAAUAUUUGUUCAUUCAAAGAUAGAUUCAUCAACUGCUCCUGACUCCUCCAGUGCACUCCCUUUUCAAGUCCUCAACUAACUAGCCACUCCUAGCUCCUUUAAUGCACUCACUUUUCAAUUCCUCACCACCCUGAAAAGGAGGAUGAACACCAUUUACAUGAACAUAUGUUUAUAGAGAACUACGAGAUAAGAGAUUCUUUGAUGAAAUUAUAAGAAAUGUAUCAUACCAAUGCUUUGUGGUUGUGCUGGAGGAGUUGGCUUAACUAUUUUUACCUAAAAACAAGAAAGAUUCUGGAUAAAUAACAUAUCACACAUGUGCAAAUUGGAGCAUACACAAUGCUUGAAUGAAAACAUACUUACAUGUGAGCGAGGCCAAGCAAUAAUAGAACCCAUAGCAUCCCUUACUGUUUGGAAUUUUUCAUAUGGUCUAACUAGUUUCUCAUCUCCUAGAUAUGUACAGCCGCGAACAAGAACUGCAACGUAUUGCACUCCAAGCAUGUUUCCUCCAACCACAUAUGUUUUCUCUUUACUCACUAAAGUCCCUUUGGCUACGAGUUUGUCUUUGUUUCUCGAGUUCAUUGAAUACAACACAACUUCAACUUUAUCCAUUUUUUGAAGAAAUGAAACAUUUGUUAUUGAUGAACUUGAGAAGAUUUCAUUUUACACAAAUAAGAACAAUUUCACAAAUAAUUAGACCAACUAUCUAUUAUACAAUCAUUGUCAUUUGGAUAUGUAGCCUAUAUGUACCUGCUUAGUGACUUGGUGAUGACCACAUGGCUUGGUUGCAUUGCUAUUUUGAGCAUGAUCAUUCUGCAAUUAAAUAGGAAUACGCGUGAAGGGAGACACAUGAUCAACUACAAUCAAGAAUGAUAGUUUUGAAGAGUUCCGAUACAUGCACCAAGGAGCCUGCACCAAGGAGCCUUAUUCUACACGUACUUUUGGUCUGCACAUUUCGCUAUCAAAUUAGAUUAAGGUCUUAUUACAAAAUUAUUUAUUGUGAAAACUAAGCAUGAAUUCAGUAUGCAAACAAAUGAAGUUGACGUCAUGUAAAUUUAUACACUUAAAACAUAAUUCACCUAAUAUUCAAGGCCAGGUGUUCCUCAACAUCUAUGCAGGGUUUCCACCAAAAAGAACAUGUAUGAAAGAUUGGUAUUUUAUCAGUACUCAUGUAUCAUUUCAGAAGUGAUUAAUUAGUUUAUUUGAAUAGGAGAUCUGUUGGAGCAACAAUGAUAUGUGUGUGACUAACUUUUGGUUCCAUUGGGCCAAAUCAUGUUACUCUUGUAUGCAAUACAAUUUUUAAUACUUGGUUAAAUCUGACUUAUGAUCUGCUAGUAGUGUCACGAUAGUGCUUAUCAAAAUGGGAUUGGUAUUUCAUAAUAAUGUCAUUUACCUUGCACUCAAAUACAAAAUUAGACAACCUUUUGUACAAUCAUUGUCAUUUAGAUAUGUAGCAUAUGUUUACCUGCUUAGCGGCUUGAAGUCAUAAACUUGGUUCAGGACCGCCUUGCUGCACGAGAAGAUUAUUUUCAGCAUGGGCAUUCUGCAAUUUAAUAGGAGAAGGUGCCAUCGGCAUCAUUGAUAAAAAGCUGGAUAAAUCCUUGCACGUAGGUUAAGAUUACUAGGACGGUAUAUACGAACCCAAUCAGGUUAUAGUUUCUAAUUAAAGGUUAAUAUUUCACAAAGUUUUAACUUGAUGAUAAGAUAGCUUUCCAAUAUUUGACUAGUAUAAGGGUUCAAUCAAUAACAAAAUUACUGGCAGGAGAUAAUUGAUAACUAAGUGCCGGUUAGUUGGCACACCUUAGUGAUCACAUGUUCAUGUGGUAAAGGCGCACUGCCACAACCCUCUUUUGAUUUGGUUUGUUGCAGCUCCUAUUAAAGCAAUAGUUGUAAGACAUUAGAAUGGACCUGCAUUAAAUAGUACAUGAAAAGCCCAUUACAUUACCUGCAUAGUAGUUCGUGGCUCCUGCACAUCGAGACUUACAAAUUAUCUUGAUUUGGCUAGUGGAUUCAUGAGAUCUUCCUGGUACUAUAUUAUCAAUCUCUGGAGGACCUUGCAGAUUUUCUUCACCAAGCUGCACAUGUUCUGGAUCAUGCAUUGUAAGGUCCAAGUCCCGUAGUCGUCUUGGUAUCCUUGCCAUUGUUAAUCUGCCAAAGUAACAGAAACUACAGAUCUCAACCAAAAGUCCAGUGCGGCAGGGCAUGUAUAGAGAGAAAAUGCCUCAUUCUAUAGCAAUUCACAUGAUCGAAAUGACCUGUCAUCAAGUUGCUGGUAUGAAACUAGUUUCAUAUGUUUGAUUGUCUUCUUCUCACAGCUUAUGAAUCCAACGAUGACUUUACUCAUGUCCCAUUUUCAAGUUUUGCUAAUAGAAUUGAUUAGAAGUGGUAUAGAAUACUAAGUGUGCAUGCAACCUGUGAUGGAUUAGAUGUGGCUGACAUACUGCAUUCUUUUGGCUGAUGGAGGAAAGCUUAGAAGUGGGCCAGCUAUGUAAAAUUGGACUCUCAUUCGGAAAGAUAAUACUACUAGUACUACACAAAUAACAAGAUGGACUCAUCAUGUGCGUGUAUAACAUACAUACACAAAUGAUAUGACCAUUAUGUACUAACUAACUAAAGGCCAUAGUGGAGCGGCACCAUCAUGUCCUUGAAGUUGGUAGCAGUAGGGGCAGAUUAACAGUGCAAGUGGUCAAGCAAAGUGGCUGCAAAUACACAGGGAUUACCUUAUCUGAGGAGCAACUUAAGUACUCCCAAAGCAAAGUGAAAUAAUUUGGCUUAGAUGUAACUUCAUCAUUACUACACAUGGGAAUUCAUGAUGUUCGGUUGAUUAAAAUUUUCUUAUAUAUUAGUCAUAAUUUUUAUACGUUUAGUAAUCUUAAUGAGCAAAAAUUUGAAGAAUUGAUUAUGCCCAUCAAUCGGAAAUGAUGCCCACAUUUGUCUACAUAGACUAAAUAAUCUUCUACAUUCAUUAUACCAACAUAUAACAGUUGGGAUUAAAUCUAUGAUAAGACUGGCUGACACAUAAUUUUUUUAGCAAAAAAACAUGCAAGCAGCAAAUCAAAUAUCAAGCAUGCAAUGAGAUCUAAUUCUGCCUAAAAGUUACGCUAAUGCAAACCAGCACAGGAAGAAUAUGAAAGAAACAGUCACCAGUUUAGUGAUUUCACUAGUACAGACUACACAAAAGCAACUACUCACCCAAACAGUUUACAAAAAAACAAUUGGGAUGGGACUCUUCCCAAAUGGUUCUGCCAACAAAGCUUUUGAUAUUUUGUGAUACUAGUCACUAUGCGUGAUGUGGCUUAAUGUGCAUUAAUAGUUACUCUGCUCCUACCAUGGAGCAGAGCUCCUGCAGUUUGCACAACCGAACAACAAACCUCCCUUUCAGCAUUUUCCCAAAACUGGUUCGCCCUCUAGGUGUGAGUCUUCUCUAUCAGUUGCUCUAUGGACUCCACCGCCGGACGGAUCGGUUGUUGUUAACGUGGAUGCUGCACUGUUCUCGAGCUCACAAAGGAUGGGGAUUGGCGUCGCGAUACGGAACCACAACGGAGAAUGCUUGUUGGCCUGUAACAAGCAGUCUGAAGUGAUCAUGACGCCUGAACUUGCUGAGGCAUUGGUGCUGCCUUCAGGGAUCGAUCUACAGUAGGUAGGGUGAUUGCUGACAUUAAAUCGCUGGCAGCAAGUUUUCAAGCUUGCUCUUUUAUUCCUGUAAAACGUUUGACGAAUGUACCAGCAGACAAACUAGCUUGUAGCUGUGAGCAUCGUCCUAGUCAGAUCUAUCGUGGUGUAAUCCCUGAACUUAUUAGGAAUACUCUAUGUACUGAUGUUGCUAUCUGAAUAAAGUGGUGUUACUCUAAAAAAUCGGACAGCAAACCUUUACACCGAUUAAGCCACAAGAAAUCAAAUUAUGCCUUGAGUUUGAGAUCAAAGAAUUUCAGUAAUUUCUUGACCAAGACCUGAGAGAGUACAGCACAAUGGUAGGAACAAUACGAACCUGGGGCGCAACUACCCUAGGCAGGAUGGCUGCUGUACCAACGUGCUUGCUCUGCUUAAUAUACCUGUAAGCUGAAGACGAAAUUGCUCGUUGCAGAAGACUUCCUCCGACCUUCCCGCCCAAUCGCCGCCGUUGGCCCCAAUGCACACGCCGGCCGGUCUCUGUCCCCCAACCUCCACGGCCUCCAAUCG